rnacentral:rRNA from 1 species
UGGGGAAUAUUGCACAAUGGGGGAAACCCUGAUGCAGCGACGCCGCGUGGAGGAAGAAGGUCUUCGGAUUGUAAACUCCUGUUGUUGAGGAAGAUAAUGACGGUACUCAACAAGGAAGUGACGGCUAACUACGUGCCAGCAGCCGCGGUAAAACGUAGGUCACAAGCGUUGUCCGGAAUUACUGGGUGUAAAGGGAGCGCAGGCGGGCGAUCAAGUUGGAAGUGAAAUCCAUGGGCUCAACCCAUGAACUGCUUUCAAAACUGAUUGUCUUGAGUAGUGCAGAGGUAGGCGGAAUUCCCGGUGUAGCGGUGGAAUGCGUAGAUAUCGGGAGGAACACCAGUGGCGAAGGCGGCCUACUGGGCACCAACUGACGCUGAGGCUCGAAAGUGUGGGUAGCAAACAGGAUUAGAUACCCUGGUAGUCCACACCGUAAACGAUGAUUACUAGGUGUUGGAGGAUUGACCCCUUCAGUGCCGCAGUUAACACAAUAAGUAAUCCACCUGGGGAGUACGACCGCAAGGUUGAAACUCAAAGGAAUUGACGGGGGCCCGCACAAGCAGUGGAGUAUGUGGUUUAAUUCGACGCAACGCGAAGAACCUUACCAAGUCUUGACAUCCUGCGACGAUGCUAGAAAUAGUAUUUUCCUUCGGGACGCAGAGACAGGUGGUGCAUGGUUGUCGUCAGCUCGUGUCGUGAGAUGUUGGGUUAAGUCCCGCAACGAGCGCAACCCUUAUGGUCAGUUACUACGCAAGAGGACUCUGGCGAGACUGCCGUUGACAAAACGGAGGAAGGUGGGGAUGACGUCAAAUCAUCAUGCCCUUUAUGACCUGGGCUACACACGUACUACAAUGGCGUUUAACAAAGAGAAGCAAGACCGCGAGGUGGAGCAAAACUCAAAAACAACGUCUCAGUUCAGAUUGCAGGCUGCAACUCGCCUGCAUGAAGUCGGAAUUGCUAGUAAUCGCGGAUCAGCAUGCCGCGGUGAAUACGUUCCC